UUCAGUUAAUGGUCUAUUAUGUCUCGUGAUAUUAGUAAUUUUGAUCAUAUCAUUUAUAAAUGAAUUAGUCAAAUAUAUAAUAUGAUCAAAAUGACUCGUAUUAGUUAGACAAAUAAGUCCAUUACCUGAACC